CAAAGUUUUGGUCCUAAACUUGUUGCUGUUUUUGAUUAAAAUUACACAUGUAAGUUUCCGCACACCGGUGAACACCGCCCAUAAAGAAGAAGGGAGCAGGUAUCAGGCACGAACCUCAGCCCAAAACACCUUGCUACGCCACACCCCCACGGGAAAUCAACAGUGAUAAACAUUAAGCCAUAAGUGAAUUCCCACAAAACUUGACUUAGUUAUAAUCAUCCAGGGCCGGCCAAUCUCGUGCCAGCCGCCGCGGUUACACGAAAGGCCCAAAUCAGCAGCCAACGGCGUAAAUUGUGACUAGAAUUCUAGCCCCACAAAAAGAAAAGAACCUCCACCUAACCGUAAAACACAGGUGAAAUGAAACUCCUUUAACCAAGGCAAUUUGAACUCACGAAAAUUAGGAAACAAACUAGGAUUAGAUACCCUACUAUGCCUAACUUUAAACAAGACACACUAAACCCCAAUGUCCGCCAGAAAACUACAAGCUAAAAGCUUAAAACUCAAAAGACUUGACGGUGUCCCACACCCGACUUAGAGGAGCCUGUCCUAUAAUCGAUGAUCCACGAUAAACCUCACCACCUUUUGCUAAUCCCGCCUAUAUACCGCCGUCGAAAAUUUACCUCACAAGAGAAACAUCGUAAAUUAAACAGUUAGACCACUAGAACGUCAGGUCAAGGUGUAGCUUACAAGGUGGCAGAGAUGGGCUACAUUCUCUAACAUUAGAGAACACAGAAAGAGUCAUGAAACAACUCCAAAGGAGAAUUUAAUAGUAAAGUUGUCAAGAAAGUCAACUUUAAACACGCUCUGGGACGCGUACACACCGCCCGUCACCCUCCUCUACACAUCAAUAUAUUCCAUAAAAAUUUUUCACCUAAAAGAUGAGGCAAGUCGUAACAUGGUAAGCGUACUGGAAAGUGUGCUUGGAAA
rnacentral:ncRNA from 1 species